UACAGAGGUCUCAAGCGUUGUUCGGAUUCAUUGGGCGUAAAGGGUGCGUAGGCGGCGCGGUAAGUCGGGUGUGAAAUUUCGAGGCUUAACUUCGAAACUGCAUUCGAUACUGCCGUGCUUGAGGACUGGAGAGGAGACUGGAAUUUACGGUGUAGCGGUGAAAUGCGUAGAUAUCAGGAGGAACACCAAUGGCGAAGGCAGCACUCUGGGACGUGACUGACGCUGAGACGCGAAAGCGUGGGGAGCAAACAGG
rnacentral:rRNA from 1 species